UAAUAGCCUGCGUUUAGAAACAGUUCAGU
rnacentral:piRNA from 1 species